rnacentral:misc_RNA from 1 species
GUUGGCUGUGGAGCGCGGAUUUGGCUUUGUGUUUAGGUGCGUGAGAGCGAGGAUUAUUGGGAUUUUUUUUUAAACAAUUUUUUUUUUCUAAUUCUGUGAUGAGAAUCGUUAUCAGACGAUGAACGAUGCCGGUGCUGCGUAGUGGAGCGCGCAGGGGCCGGGGAGCAGCAACAGCAGCAGCGAAGCAGCAGACAAAUCCGACCGAGGCAGUAGAGGCAAUCGCAACAAGGACACGCAGAAGACGUGCGGAAGCUGCGGCCGCUGGGGCUGCACCUAAAAACAAUAAUACUAACAACAAUAACGAAAAGGACC